CCGAAUUCUAAAGACAAAAAAUACCCCUUCUUGUUAUGUUGGUUGCCGACCCCAACGAGCGAGACGAACCGUUGGCAUCGAGAAACGGCAAGAGAUGGCGACAGCUUUGGGAGCGCUGCAUUCCAGCAGUGAGCUGCGCUCGGAGGAAGCAACAACUACCGCUACACGAACCCACCACGCACGUUCUGCGAGCCAGAAAACGUGUGUCGAGCACUACCCUCAAGGUGCAGGGGACGCUGCCAUGGCGUUCUCGCCCAGUGCGCUGGACCCGCAGUCCAGAAGUCGCCGAUUCGAUCUCCUUAACGCGGAAGACGAAGGGACGCUGCAAGUUUGACGAGUCCACGGGCUCAGCCUCGAUCCGCACGACAAUAAAAAAGGGGGCCGUGUGUGUAAACCUGAAGACCUCGCUGCUAUGCGGAAAGGUGCAGAUUCCGUCCGCAGACUCACUGCCAGGACGAACGCCGGGUGGGUGACACGCUCAUCCCACGGCGGGUCAGGCGACCGCCUGGCACAUCCGCCAUGCGCGCUUCCACUGCCGCUCUUACGAGAUGUAUUGUACACAAAAAAAAUGUGAAAGUAAUUUACAGUCACUGUUAAUCCACUGCCGGAUGAAGGCCUCACCAUGGGUUGAUUGUGGGGUUUUUUUCCAUGAAAAAUUACGUAAUUUGUUUUACCAUAAAUUAUUUUUACAUACUUUGCCACGCUGGUGAAGGUGGCAGGCCCAGGACUGAUUCAGAUAUCACUCGCCACGGAUGUUUAGCCCUGGCCAGGAAUCGAAGUCGGUACUGUAAAAGUGGUUUAUAUUACAUAAUUCCAGUUUUUUUGGUAACCAUAAUGACAGUGGGCGGUUGUUUAAGACGAGCGGUGUAAUGAUGCAUCGAUACAUAGAUGAGGAUUGAUCGUUAAGCGUGUGAUACAUGCAUUAAAUGACGUGUGAAGGAAGAGAUGUUUUUAGAUUCCUAAAUUACGUGUCAUGUCCGAUAAAACGUCCACCGUGGAGAAGG